ACCUGCCUCUUUCGAGGCGACACUCCACCAUGAAUCACUCCCCUGUGAGGAACUUCUGUCUUCACGCGGAAAGCGUCUAGCCAUGGCGUUAGUACGAGUGUCGUGCAGCCUCCAGGCCCCCCCCUCCCGGGAGAGCCAUAGUGGUCUGCGGAACCGGUGAGUACACCGGAAUCGCCGGGUUGACCGGGUCCUUUCUUGGAACUACCCGCUCAAUGCCCGGAAAUUUGGGCGUGCCCCCGCGAGACUGCUAGCCGAGUAGUGUUGGGUCGCGAAAGGCCUUGUGGUACUGCCUGAUAGGGUGCUUGCGAGUGCCCCGGGAGGUCUCGUAGACCGUGCAUCAUGAGCACACUUCCUAAACCACAAAGAAUAACCAAAAGAAACAUCAACCGCCGGCCACAGGACGUUAAGUUCCCAGGCGGCGGUCAGAUCGUUGGUGGAGUUUACGUACUACCACGCAGGGGCCCCAAGUUGGGUGUGCGUGCAGUGCGCAAGACUUCCGAGCGGUCGCAACCUCGUAGUAGGCGCCAACCCAUCCCCAGGGCGCGCCGAACCGAGGGCCGGUCCUGGGCUCAGCCCGGGUACCCUUGGCCCCUAUAUGGGAAUGAGGGCUGCGGGUGGGCAGGGUGGCUCCUGUCCCCGCGCGGCUCUCGCCCAUCGUGGGGCCCAAAUGACCCCCGGCGUAGAUCCCGCAAUUUGGGUAAGGUCAUCGAUACCCUCACAUGCGGAUUCGCCGACCUCAUGGGGUACAUUCCGCUCGUAGGCGCCCCUGUUGGGGGCGUCGCAAGAGCUCUUGCACAUGGUGUUCGAGCUCUUGAGGACGGAAUCAAUUUCGCAACAGGGAAUUUACCUGGUUGCUCUUUCUCUAUCUUCCUCUUGGCUUUGCUCUCAUGCUUGCUUACACCCACAGCCGGGCUGGAGUAUCGUAAUGCCUCCGGACUCUACACGGUAACCAACGACUGUAGUAACGGUAGCAUCGUGUAUGAGGCCGGGGAUGUUAUCCUCCACUUGCCUGGCUGUAUCCCCUGCGUGCGCUUAAACAAUGCAUCAAAAUGCUGGACCCCUGUAAGCCCUACCGUCGCCGUGAGUCGCCCUGGCGCCGCUACCGCCUCUCUCCGCACGCACGUGGACAUGAUGGUGGGAGCGGCCACCCUAUGCUCAGCUCUCUACGUAGGAGAUCUUUGUGGAGCGCUAUUUCUUGUUGGGCAGGGGUUCUCAUGGAGACAUCGCCAGCAUUGGACUGUCCAGGAUUGCAACUGUUCGAUCUACCCUGGACAUUUGACAGGCCAUCGUAUGGCUUGGGACAUGAUGAUGAAUUGGUCCCCUGCCAUGACACUGAUAGUGUCCCAAGUGUUGCGUUUGCCACAGACCAUGUUCGAUCUGGUCAUUGGGGCACAUUGGGGCGUGAUGGCCGGUGUGGCUUACUACUCCAUGCAAGGGAAUUGGGCCAAGGUGUUUCUCGUGUUAUGUCUAUUCUCCGGAGUGGACGCUAGCACGACGAUAACUGGUGGCGUCGCGGCCAGUGGUGCCUUUACAAUCACAUCACUUUUCAGUACGGGCGCAAAGCAACCCCUACACUUGGUCAAUACCAACGGCUCGUGGCACAUAAACCGCACGGCCCUGAAUUGCAAUGAUUCCCUAAACACCGGGUUUAUUGCGGGUUUGCUCUACUACCACAAGUUCAAUUCAUCAGGGUGUGUCGAGCGAAUGUCUGCUUGCAGUCCCCUUGACCGUUUCGCGCAAGGGUGGGGUCCAUUGGGGCCAGCUAACAUCUCUGGCCCUUCAUCUGAAAAGCCAUACUGCUGGCAUUAUGCACCUAGACCUUGCGACACUGUCCCCGCUCAAAGUGUUUGUGGCCCUGUCUACUGUUUCACCCCUUCGCCCGUUGUGGUGGGAGCGACUGACAAACGUGGAGCCCCCACUUACACCUGGGGGGAGAAUGAAUCAGACGUGUUCCUGUUGGAAUCAGCACGGCCCCCUACGGAGCCCUGGUUCGGGUGCACGUGGAUGAACGGCUCGGGGUAUGUCAAGACAUGUGGUGCCCCCCCCUGUCACAUCUACGGAGGGCGGGAAGGCAAGUCCAACAACAGUCUCGUCUGUCCCACGGACUGUUUCAGGAAACACCCCGAUGCCACCUACAAUCGUUGCGGUGCUGGCCCGUGGUUAACACCAAGGUGUUUGGUUGACUACCCGUACCGCCUCUGGCACUAUCCCUGUACCGUGAAUUACACCAUCUUCAAGGUCAGGAUGUUCGUUGGCGGAUUGGAACAUCGUUUUAACGCCGCCUGCAACUGGACUAGAGGAGAGCGUUGCAACCUGGAGGACCGGGAUCGCAGCGAAAUGUAUCCUCUGCUACACUCAACCACAGAACAAGCAAUACUACCUUGCUCUUUUGUGCCAAUACCCGCCCUAUCAACAGGUCUCAUACAUCUCCACCAAAAUAUCGUGGAUGUUCAAUACCUGUACGGAAUUAGUUCAGGUCUGGUGGGCUGGGCAAUCAAGUGGGAGUUCGUCAUCCUCAUCUUCCUCCUGCUAGCAGAUGCAAGAGUGUGUGUCGUUUUGUGGAUGAUGAUGUUGAUAUCACAAGCUGAAGCUGCUUUGGAGAAUUUGAUUGUCCUGAACGCCAUCUCCGCUGCGGGCACACAUGGGAUCUGGUGGUCCCUUGUUGCCUUUUGCGUUGCUUGGCACGUUCGGGGCAGGAUAUUCCCCAUAGCGGUGUACAGUAUUGUUGGUCUUUGGCCCCUACUCUUACUUGUCCUCAUGCUUCCCUAUCGGGCAUACGCUUGGACGGGUACAGACACGUCCACCUUGGGUGCCGGAGUGCUGAGCUUGUUUGCCCUUUUCACCUUGUCCCCCUGGUAUAAGCAUUGGAUAGCCCGCCUUAUCUGGUGGAACCAGUACACUAUUGCCAGGUGUGAAGCAGCACUGCAGAUAUGGGUUCCUCCCCUGCUGGCCAGAGGAGCCCGCGAUGGUAUCAUUCUGCUUGCUGGCUUGUUUUAUCCCGCUCUAGUCUUUGACAUCACUAAGCUCUUGUUAGCAAUACUAGGGCCUCUUUACAUCCUACAAGCCAGCCUUGUUCGCGUCCCCUACUUUGUGCGGGCCCAUGCAGUUGUUCGCCUAUGCAUCCUGGUGCGGAACAUCACUGGCGGUAAAUAUGUGCAAAUGGUGCUUCUGGCACUAGCCCGGGGGUUCAAUACUUACCUAUAUGACCAUCUUUCACCCAUGACUGAUUGGGCGGCUGAGGGCUUGAAAGACCUAGCCGUGGCCGUCGAGCCCGUCAUCUUCAGUCCUAUGGAGGUUAAGGUUAUUACAUGGGGAGCUGAUACGACAGCAUGCGGGGACAUACUCUGCGGCUUGCCGGUGUCGGCUCGUCUUGGGAAGGAGGUGCUACUAGGCCCUGCGGAUGAUUACCGCUCCAUGGGGUGGAGGUUGCUGGCGCCGAUAACAGCUCACGCGCAGCAAACCAGAGGCCUAUUCGGCACGAUUGUCACCAGUCUCACUGGUAGGGACAAGAACAUCGUCACUGGGGAGAUCCAGGUCCUCUCUACUAGUACGCAGACGUUCUUGGGCACAUCAGUGGGGGGGGUCAUGUGGACCGUCUACCACGGAGCUGGUUCUAGGACAUUAGCUGGUAAUAAGAGACCAGCUCUGCAAAUGUACACCAACGUAGACCAGGACUUGGUCGGCUGGCCCUCUCCACCCGGCGCCAAAUCCCUUGUGCCGUGCACGUGCGGCUCAGCCGACCUGUACCUGAUCACGCGUGAUGCAGAUGUCCUGCCAGCACGACGCAGAGGGGACUCCACGGCUAGCUUGCUCAGUCCUAGACCCCUAGCAUGCUUGAAAGGCUCUUCGGGCGGUCCCAUCAUGUGCCCCUCUGGUCAUGUCGCCGGCAUCUUCAGAGCAGCUGUGUGUACCAGGGGUGUGGCGAAGGCCUUACAGUUCAUACCAGUAGAGAGCCUAAGUGCACAGACCAGAUCCCCCUCCUUCUCUGACAAUUCAACUCCACCAGCAGUGCCGCAAACUUUCCAAGUGGGUUAUCUCCAUGCGCCCACCGGCAGCGGUGAGAGUACAAAAGUGCCCGCCAGCUAUGUGGCUCAAGGGUAUACCGUGCUUGUGCUGAACCCAUCCGUUGCCGCUACCCUCGGGUUCGGCAGGUUCAUGUCACAUGCUUACGGUAUCGACCCUAACGUGCGCACCGGCACCCGCACCAUAACCACCGGCGCAAAGCUCACAUACUCAACAUAUGGGAAGUUUCUAGCCGAUGGGGGGUGUUCGGGCGGUGCUUAUGAUGUCAUCAUUUGUGACGAAUGUCACGCGCAGGAUGCCACUAGUAUACUGGGCAUAGGCACUGUGCUGGACCAGGCAGAGACCGCUGGAGCACGGUUGGUUGUUUUAGCAACCGCAACCCCGCCUGGUAGUAUCACUGUCCCACACUCUAACAUCGAGGAGGUGGCUCUUACCGGGGAAGGGGAAAUCCCCUUUUACGGCAGGGCUAUACCCUUAGGUGUGAUCAAGGGUGGUAGACAUCUCAUCUUCUGCCAUUCAAAGAAAAAAUGUGAUGAGUUGGCUAAGCAGUUGACAUCACUGGGCGUCAACGCUGUAGCAUUUUACAGGGGUCUUGAUGUGUCCGUGAUACCAACACAAGGAGAUGUCGUGGUGUGUGCCACUGACGCUCUCAUAACUGGGUACACGGGGGACUUCGACUCUGUGAUAGACUGCAACGUCGCCGUCGAGCAGUAUGUUGACUUUAGCCUUGACCCUACGUUUUCUAUUGAGACCCACACAGUCCCUCAAGACGCGGUGUCCAGAAGUCAGAGAAGGGGCCGCACCGGUCGAGGCAAAAGUGGCACUUAUCGCUACGUCUCGCCCGGUGAACGGCCGUCAGGAAUGUUUGACUCCGUGGUGCUCUGUGAAUGCUAUGACGCCGGCUGCGCUUGGUACGAGCUUACUCCCAGCGAGACAACAGUGCGGCUCAGAGCAUAUUUAUCAACACCUGGACUGCCCGUCUGCCAAGACCAUCUGGAGUUCUGGGAAGGUGUAUUUACUGGAUUGACCCACAUAGAUGCCCACUUCCUAUCUCAAACAAAACAACAGGGCCUGAAUUUUCCAUACUUGACAGCAUAUCAGGCUACGGUCUGCGCUCGUGCUGCAGCUCUCCCCCCUAGCUGGGACGAGACGUGGAAAUGCCUCAUCCGGCUCAAGCCAACUCUGCACGGGCCCACACCCCUCCUUUACAGGCUGGGAGCUGUGCAAAAUGAGAUCUGCACGACUCACCCGGUUACAAAAUACAUUGCAACUUGUAUGGCAGCUGAUCUCGAGGUUGCGACCAGCGCCUGGGUGUUGCUUGGGGGGGUGAUGGCGGCGCUAACAGCCUACUGUUUGUCAGUGGGUAGCGUUGUCAUCGUAGGUCACCUGGUACUAGGGGGGAAGCCUGCUCUUGUCCCAGACAAAGAAGUGCUAUACCAGCAGUAUGAUGAGAUGGAAGAAUGUUCUCGAGCGGCUCCUUACAUCGAGCAAGCUCAGGGGAUAGCCCAACAGUUUAAGGAGAAGGUCAUCGGCCUUCUCCAACAAGCUGACCAAAAGGCUGCUGAUAUCAAGCCUAUAGCUACACCGUAUUGGCAAAAGUUGGAGACCUUUUGGAGCAAACACAUGUGGAACUUUGUCAGCGGGAUUCAAUACUUGGCCGGAUUGUCCACCUUACCCGGUAAUCCUGCUAUAGCAUCUCUCAUGGCAUUUACUGCAUCUGUGACCAGCCCACUUACAACAAAUCAAACCCUACUGUUCAACAUAAUGGGGGGUUGGGUGGCCAGUAAUUUGGCACCCCCCCCUGCCUCCACCGCAUUUGUGGUGAGCGGCUUGGCCGGUGCCGCUGUAGGAAGCAUCGGCCUGGGCAAGGUCUUACUGGACAUACUGGCAGGUUAUGGGGCUGGGGUAGCUGGUGCUUUGGUCGCGUUUAAGAUCAUGGGAGGUGAAAUGCCCAGCACGGAGGACAUGGUAAAUCUCUUGCCUGCCAUCUUAUCCCCCGGUGCUCUAGUGGUUGGCGUGAUCUGCGCAGCUAUUCUGCGCCGGCACGUUGGACCCGGGGAGGGUGCAGUACAAUGGAUGAAUAGGUUAAUAGCUUUCGCAUCCAGAGGCAACCAUGUAGCACCAACUCACUAUGUCCCUGAGAGCGAUGCUGCAGCGAAGGUUACAGCACUGCUAAGCUCUUUGACCGUUACACAGCUCCUCCGCCGGCUCCACCAGUGGAUCAACGAAGACUAUCCCACUCCUUGCGAUGGGAAUUGGCUUUAUGACAUUUGGAAUUGGGUCUGUACUGUGCUUGCUGACUUCAAGCUGUGGCUUGGAGCAAAGAUCUUGCCCAAGAUGCCAGGUAUCCCUUUCCUUUCUUGUCAGAAGGGAUACAGGGGUACUUGGCGAGGCGAUGGAGUCGUGUCUACGCGCUGCCCUUGCGGAGCCCUCCUCUCUGGUCACGUGAAGAACGGGACUAUGAGACUUGUAGGUCCGCGAUGGUGCGCGAACACAUGGCACGGUACCUUCCCUAUCAAUGGGUACACCACUGGUCCUAGCACGCCAGCCCCCUCUUAUGCUUACUCGCGCGCCUUAUGGCGGGUAGCUUCUGACAGCUACGUCGAGGUACGCAAAGUGGGGGACUUCCACUAUGUCACAGGGACGACCGAUGACGGGUUGAAAUGCCCGUGUCAGGUCCCACUACCAGAGUUUUUCACUGAGCUUGACGGGGUGAGACUCCACCGCUACGCUCCGGUUUGUAGGCCCCUUUUAAGGGAUGAUGUCACCUUCACUGUGGGGUUGAACUCCUACGUAAUAGGAUCGCAGCUCCCCUGUGAGCCUGAGCCGGACGUCGCGGUGGUGACCUCAAUGCUGCAAGAUCCAUCGCACAUAACUGUCGAGACGGCCAAGCGCCGACUUGAUCGAGGAUCUCCCCCCUCACUUGCAAGCUCUUCUGCCAGUCAAUUGUCAGCCCCGUCGAGGAAAGCUACGUGCACUACGCACGGACGGCAUCCAGACGCUGAGCUUAUCACUGCCAAUUUGUUGUGGAGGCAAGAGAUGGGUAGUAACAUCACGCGGGUGGAGUCCGAGUCCAAGGUGGUGAUCCUUGACUCAUUUGAGCCUCUGAGGGCCUGUGAUGAUGAAGACGAGCUCUCAGUAGCUGCUGAGUGUUUCAAGAAACCACCGAAGUAUCCUCCGGCCCUUCCCAUUUGGGCCAGACCGGACUACAACCCACCAUUGGUGGAACCAUGGAAAGACCCCGACUAUGUGCCGCCCACCGUGCAUGGGUGUGCAUUGCCACCACAGAAACUUCCACCCGUGCCACCUCCGCGCAGGAAGAGAACCAUCGUUCUCAGCGAGUCUACAGUGUCAAAAGCACUGGCCAGCUUAGCUGAGAAAAGCUUCCCGCAACCAACAUGUUCCGCGGAGGAUGAGAGUACCUCAGGGGUCGGCACUCAAUCUGGCAGCCUGACCGGUCCUGUCCAACUAGAUGAUGACGACUCGGACAACGAGUCUCAUUCAUCUAUGCCCCCUCUUGAAGGAGAGCCGGGCGAUCCGGACCUAAGUUCCGGUUCUUGGUCCACGGUCAGCGGGGAAGAGCAGAGUGUGGUGUGUUGUUCCAUGUCCUACUCCUGGACGGGGGCACUCAUCACGCCAUGUGCCGCUGAGGAAGAAAAGCUCCCCAUCAGUCCACUCAGUAACUCGUUGCUGAGACACCACAAUCUUGUCUACUCCACGUCAUCACGUAGCGCUGCCCAACGGCAAAAGAAGGUUACCUUCGAUAGGCUACAAGUGCUUGAUGACCACUAUAACACUACUCUGAAGGAGAUCAAGGAACUAGCAUCUGGGGUAAAGGCUGAGCUGCUCUCUGUAGAAGAAGCGUGCCGCCUUGUCCCCUCUCACUCCGCCAGAUCGAAAUUUGGCUACGGAGCGAAGGAGGUGCGGUCCUUGUCCAGCAAGGCCAUUAACCAUAUCAACUCCGUAUGGGAGGACUUGCUGGAAGACAACACUACACCUAUACCAACCACCAUCAUGGCAAAAAACGAGGUCUUUGCUGUGGCCCCCCAUAAGGGGGGUCGUAAGCCAGCCCGCCUGAUUGUGUAUCCUGACCUGGGAGUGCGUAUCUGCGAGAAGCGCGCUCUAUAUGAUGUGAUACAGAAGUUGCCCAGUGCAAUAAUGGGAUCCGCCUACGGGUUCCAAUAUUCGCCCAAGCAGAGGGUCGAGUAUCUUCUUAAGAUGUGGAACUCAAAGAAGACACCUUUGGGUUUCUCCUAUGACACCCGCUGCUUCGACUCCACUGUCACUGAACAGGACAUCAGGGUAGAAGAGUCCAUCUAUCAGGCCUGUGACCUCAAGGACGAGGCUAGGAGGGUGAUAACUUCACUCACGGAGCGGCUUUACUGUGGUGGCCCUAUGUUCAACAGCAAGGGACAGCACUGCGGUUACCGCCGCUGCCGUGCUAGUGGGGUGCUACCCACUAGUUUUGGAAACACAGUCACCUGUUACCUCAAAGCAAAGGCAGCCACCAAAGCCGCCGGGAUCAAAGAUCCAUCAUUCCUUGUCUGCGGAGACGACUUGGUCGUAAUUGCUGAGAGUGCAGGGAUCGAUGAGGACAAAAGUGCCUUGAGAGCUUUCACGGAAGCUAUGACCAGGUACUCAGCCCCUCCAGGCGACCCGCCUCAGCCCACUUACGACUUGGAGCUUAUUACAUCUUGCUCUUCAAACGUCUCUGUAGCCCAUGACGGCGCGGGGAAAAGAUAUUACUAUCUUACCCGCGACCCGGAGACCCCCCUGGCCCGCGCGGCCUGGGAGACUGCCCGCCACACUCCAGUUAACUCCUGGUUGGGAAAUAUCAUUAUGUACGCACCUACCAUCUGGGUGCGCAUGGUGAUUAUGACCCAUUUUUUCUCCAUACUGCAAGCUCAGGAGCAACUAGAAAAAGCCCUCGACUUCGAGAUGUACGGGGCUGUCUAUUCUGUCACUCCACUGGACUUGCCAGCCAUCAUUGAACGACUCCAUGGCCUAAGCGCGUUCUCACUCCACAGUUACUCUCCAGUUGAGCUCAAUAGGGUAGCAGGGGCUCUCAGGAAACUUGGGAUCCCUCCUCUACGAGCCUGGAGACAUCGGGCAAGAGCGGUGCGCGCAAAGCUCAUUUCCCAGGGAGGGAAGGCCAAAAUCUGUGGCCUUUACCUCUUCAACUGGGCAGUGCGCACAAAGGCAAAACUCACUCCAUUGCCUCAAGCGGGCCUCUUGGACUUGUCCAGGUGGUUCACUGUAGGCGCAGGCGGGAACGACAUUUAUCACAGCGUGUCACGUGCCCGAUCCCGCCAUUUACUCCUUGGCCUACUCCUACUUACGGUAGGGGUAGGCAUCUUCCUGUUACCAGCCCGAUAGGCUGGUAACUAACACUCCAUUUUUAACUUAUUUGUUUUUUUUUUUUUUUUU
rnacentral:misc_RNA from 1 species